GCCGACUUAGCUCAACUGGUAGAGCACCUGAUUUGUAAUCAGGGGGUUGGGGGUUCAAGUCCCUCAGUCGGCACCA
rnacentral:tRNA from 2 species